rnacentral:rRNA from 1 species
UAGGGAAUAUUGGGCAAUGGCCGAGAGGCUGACCCAGCCAUGCCGCGUGCAGGAAGAAGGCCUUCUGGGUUGUAAACUGCUUUUAUCUGGGAAGAAAACGCCCCUGCGGGGGUAACUGACGGUACCAGAUGAAUAAGCACCGGCUAACUCCGUGCCAGCAGCCGCGGUAAUACGGAGGGUGCAAGCGUUGUCCGGAUUUAUUGGGUUUAAAGGGUGCGUAGGCGGCCCGUUAAGUCAGUGGUGAAAUCCCAGGGCUCAACCCUGGAACUGCCAUUGAUACUGACGGGCUUGAGUUCGGUUAAGGCGGGCGGAACUGGUGGUGUAGCGGUGAAAUGCAUAGAUACCACCAAGAACCCCGAUUGCGUAGGCAGCUCGCUGAGCCGAAACUGACGCUGAGGCACGAAAGCGUGGGGAGCGAACAGGAUUAGAUACCCUGGUAGUCCGACGCCGUAAACGAUAGAAUACUCGAUGUUAGCGAUAUACUGUUAGCGUCCAAG